GGUCGGUGAUGGGUGUUGGCAUGUAUUAGCUGAGCAUAAACCUGAAGACUAUCAGCUUAGCUCUAGAAUUACUCUGAGACCUG